rnacentral:rRNA from 1 species
GAUGAACGCUGACAGAAUGCUUAACACAUGCAAGUCUACUUGAUCCUUUGGGUGAUGGUGGCGGACGGGUGAGUAACGCGUGGGUAACCUGCCUUGUACUGGGGGACAACAGUUGGAAACGACUGCUAAUACCGCAUAAGCGCACAGCUUCGCAUGAAGCAGUGUGAAAAACUCCGGUGGUACAAGAUGGACCCGCGUCUGAUUAGCUAGUUGGUGAGGUAACGGCCCACCAAGGCGACGAUCAGUAGCCGGCCUGAGAGGGUGAACGGCCACAUUGGGACUGAGACACGGCCCAA